GAUGAACGCUGGCGGCGUGCCUAAUACAUGCAAGUCGAACGAAUCUUUUUCGGAAGAUGAGUGGCGAACGGGUGAGUAAUACAUAGGUAACCUGCCCCUGUGCGGGGGAUAACAGGAGGAAACUCCUGCUAAUACCGCAUAGCCAUGAGCACCGCAUGGAGCUCAUGCCAAAUAUCCUUUAUGGGAUAGCGCAGGGAUGGACCUAUGGCGCAUUAGCUUGUUGGCGGGGCAACGGCCCACCAAGGCAACGAUGCGUAGCCGGCCUGAGAGGGCGGACGGCCACAUUGGGACUGAGACACGGCCCAGACUCCUACGGGAGGCAGCAGUAGGGAAUUUUCGGCAAUGGGGGAAACCCUGACCGAGCAACGCCGCGUGAGCGAAGAAGGCCUUCGGGUCGUAAAGCUCUGUUGUAAAGGAAGAACGUCGCAUGCAGGAAAUGGUGUGCGAGUGACGGUACUUUACCGGAAAGCCAC
rnacentral:rRNA from 1 species